GGAUGUAAGGGCGAUCUGGCUGCGACAUCUGUCACCCCACUGAUCGCCAGGGUUGAUUCAGCUGCUCUGGCUGGCUAGGCGGGUGUCUCCUUCCUCCCUUGCUGCUCCAUGUGUGCCCCUCCUGAAGCUGCAUGCUCAGUGGAAGAGGACAACCAUGCCCGAUAGAAGAGGACUGGUCUUCCGUCGAGAAUCUAGAGUAGCUGCGCUCCCCUGCUAGAACCUCCAAACAAGCUCUCCAUAAUAGCCAGCCUUAAAAAAAGGAUCUGUUGGCCAGGCGCGGUGGCUCAAACCUGUAAUCCCAGCACUUUGGGAGGCCGAGGUGGGCGGAUCACGAAGU
ensembl:misc_RNA 7SK 7SK RNA